rnacentral:piRNA from 1 species
CUCACUCUUGGUGCAGAGAACCUCUGUCGA